rnacentral:rRNA from 1 species
GACGAACGCUGGCGGCGUGCUUAACACAUGCAAGUCGAACGGAAAGGCCCUGCUUUUGUGGGGUGCUCGAGUGGCGAACGGGUGAGUAACACGUGAGUAACCUGCCCUUGACUUUGGGAUAACUUCAGGAAACUGGGGCUAAUACCGGAUAGGAGCUCCUGCUGCAUGGUGGGGGUUGGAAAGUUUCGGCGGUUGGGGAUGGACUCGCGGCUUAUCAGCUUGUUGGUGGGGUAGUGGCUUACCAAGGCUUUGAAGGGUAGCCGGCCUGAGAGGGUGACCGGCCACAUUGGGACUGAGAUACGGCCCAGACGCAUACGGGAGGCAGCAGUGGGGAAUAUUGCACAAUGGGCGGAAGCCUGAUGCAGCAACGCCGCGUGCGGGAUGACGGCCUUCGGGUUGUAAACCGCUUUCGCCUGUGACGAAGCGUGAGUGACGGUAAUGGGUAAAGAAGCACCGGCUAACUACGU